UCCUGCUUAGCUCAGUUGGUUAGAGCAUCUGACUGUUAAUCAGAGGGUCGCUGGUUCAAGUCCAGCAGCAGGAG
rnacentral:tRNA from 4 species